CCUACGGGAGGCAGCAGUGGGGAAUAUUGGGCAAUGGGCGCAAGCCUGACCCAGCAACGCCGCGUGAAGGAAGAAGGCUUUCGGGUUGUAAACUUCUUUUGUCAGGGAAGAGUAGAAGACGGUACCUGACGAAUAAGCCACGGCUAACUACGUGCCAGCAGCCGCGGUAAUACGUAGGUGGCAAGCGUUGUCCGGAUUUACUGGGGGUAAAGGGCGUGUAGCCGGGUUGACAAGUCAGAUGUGAAAUCCUGCGGCUUAACCGCAGAACUGCCUUUGAAACUGUUGAUCUUGAGUACUGGAGAGGCAGACGGAAUUCCUAGUGUAGCGGUGGAAUGCGGAGAUAUUAGGAGGAACACCAGUGGCGAAGGCGGUCUGCUGGACAGCAAAUGACGGUGAGGCGCGAAAGCGUGGGGAGCAAACAGGAUUAGAUACCCUUGUAGUC
rnacentral:rRNA from 1 species